UACGGAAGGCAGCAGUGGGGAAUAUUGCACAAUGGGCGAAAGCCUGAUGCAGCUAUGCCGCGUGUAUGAAGAAGGCCUUAGGGUUGUAAAGUACUUUCAUCGGGGAGGAAAAAACAAAACUAAUAAUUUUAUUUCUUGACGUUACCCGAAAAAGAAGCACCGGCUAACUCCGUGCCAGCAGCCGCGGUAAUACGGAGGGUGCUAGCGUUAAUCAGAAUUACUGGGCGUAAAGAGCACGUAAGUGGUUUUUUUAAGUCAGAUGUGAAAUCCCUGGGCUUUAACCUAGGAACUGCAUUUUGAAACUGAAAUACUAGAGUAUCGUAGAGGGAGGUAGAAUUCUAGGUGUAGCGGUGAAAUGCGUAGAUAUCUGGAGGAAUACCUGUGGCGAAAGCGGCCUCCUAAACGAAUACUGACACUGAGGGUGCGAAAGCGUGGGGAGCAAACAGGGAUUAGAUACC
rnacentral:rRNA from 1 species